CCUACGGGUGGCAGCAGUGAGGCAUAUUGGUCAAUGGACGAGAGUCUGAACCAGCCAAGUAGCGUGAAGGAUGACUGCCCUAUGGGUUGUAAACUUCUUUUAUAUGGGAAUAAAAUGUUCCACGUGUGGGAUUUUGUAUGUACCAUAUGAAUAAGGAUCGGCUAACUCCGUGCCAGCAGCCGCGGUAAUACGGAGGAUCCGAGCGUUAUCCGGAUUUAUUGGGUUUAAAGGGAGCGUAGGUGGAUUGUUAAGUCAGUUGUGAAAGUUUGCGGCUCAACCGUAAAAUUGCAGUUGAAACUGGCAGUCUUGAGUACAGUAGAGGUGGGCGGAAUUCGUGGCGUAGCGGUGAAAUGCUUAGAUAUCACGAAGAACUCCGAUUGCGAAGGCAGUUCACUGGACUGCAACUGACACUGAGGCUCGAAAGUGUGGGUAUCAAACAGGAUUAGAUACCCUGGUAGUC
rnacentral:rRNA from 1 species